GACGAACGCUGGCGGCGUGCUUAACACAUGCAAGUCGAACGGUGAAGCUCCAGCUUGCUGGAGUGGAUCAGUGGCGAACGGGUGAGUAACACGUGAGCAACCUGCCCCUGACUCUGGAAUAAGCGCUGGAAACGGCGUCUAAUACUGGAUACGAGAAGGGUCCGCAUGGGCACUUUCUGGAAAGUUUUUCGGUUGGGGAUGGGCUCGCGGCCUAUCAGCUUGUUGGUCAGGUAAUGGCUCACCAAGGCGACGACGGGUAGCCGGCCUGAGAGGGCGACCGGCCACACUGGGACUGAGACACGGCCCAGACUCCUACGGGAGGCAGCAGUGGGGAAUAUUGCACAAUGGGCGAAAGCCUGAUGCAGCGACGCCGCGUGAGGGAUGACGGCCUUCGGGUUGUAAACCUCUUUCAGCAGGGAAGAAGCGAAAGUGACGGUACCUGCAGAAGAAGCACCGGCUAACUACGUG
rnacentral:rRNA from 1 species